rnacentral:rRNA from 1 species
CAAUAGCGUAUAUUAAAGUUGUUGCAGUUAAAAAGCUCGUAGUUGAAUUUUUGCUUGCCGCCGAUGUCGGAACUUCCGUACGUUCGGCGGCGUGCAUCCUUGGGUGGAACCUGUGUGGCAUUAGGUUGUCGUGCAGGGGAUGCUCAUCGUUUACUGUGAAAAAAUUAGAGUGUUCAAAGCAGGCUUACGCCGUUGAAUAUAUUAGCAUGGAAUAAUAAGAUAGGACCUUGGUACUAUUUUGUUGGUUUGCGCACCGAGGUAAUGAUUAACAGGGACAGUUGGGGGUAUUCGUAUUCCAUUGUCAGAGGUGAAAUUCUUGGAUUUCUGGAAGACGAACUACUGCGAAANGANNNACCAAGGAUGUUUUCAUNAA